rnacentral:rRNA from 1 species
UACUGCUAUCAGUGUUCGAUUAAGCCAUGCGAGUUAAAUGUUCUUCGUGAACAUGGCGUACUGCUCAGUAACACGUGGAUAACCUGCCCUAAGGUCCGGCAUAACCCCGGGAAACUGGGGAUAAUACCGGAUAAACCAUAGAUACUGGAAUGUUCUGUGGUUAAAAGUUCCGGCGCCUUAGGAUGGAUCUGCGGCCUAUCAGGUAGUAGUGGGUGUAAAGUACCUACUAGCCGACGACGGGUACGGGUUGUGAGAGCAAGAGCCCGGAGAUGGAUUCUGAGACAUGAAUCCAGGCCCUACGGGGCGCAGCAGGCGCGAAAUCUUUACAAUGCGGGAAACCGCGAUAAGGGGACACUGAGUGCCAGCAUAUUAUGCUGGCUGUCCACCUGUAUAAAUCACAGGUGUUAGCAAGGGCCGGGCAAGACCGGUGCCAGCCGCCGCGGUAACACCGGCGGCCCGAGUGGUAGCCACUAUUAUUGGGUCUAAAGGGUCCGUAGCCGGUUUGAUCAGUCUUCCGGGAAAUCUGACAGCUCAACUG